UACGUAGGGUGCAAGCGUUAAUCGGAAUUACUGGGCGUAAAGCGUGCGCAGGCGGUUAUGUAAGACAGAUGUGAAAUCCCCGGGCUCAACCUGGGAACUGCAUUUGUGACUGCAUAGCUAGAGUACGGCAGAGGGGGGUGGAAUUCCACGUGUAGCAGUGAAAUGCGUAGAGAUGUGGAGGAACACCGAUGGCGAAGGCAGCCCCCUGGGCCAAUACUGACGCUCAUGCACGAAAGCGUGGGUAGCAAAUAGGAUUAGAUA
rnacentral:rRNA from 1 species